UACGUAGGGGGCAAGCGUUGUCCGGAUUUAUUGGGCGUAAAGAGCUCGUAGGCGGUUUGUUGCGUCGGCUGUGAAAUCCCGAGGCUCAACCUCGGGUCUGCAGUCGAUACGAGCAAACUAGAGUGUUGCAGGGGAGACUGGAAUUCCUGGUGUAGCGGUGAAAUGCGCAGAUAUCAGGAGGAACACCGGUGGCGAAGGCGGGUCUCUGGGCAACAACUGACGCUGAGACGCGAAAGCGUGGGGAGCAAACAGG
rnacentral:rRNA from 1 species